CAGUGGUACUAAGCGUACGAAAAGUAGGGCGGGACACGUGAAAUCCUGUCUGAAUAUGGGGGGACCAUCCUCCAAGGCUAAAUACUCAUCAUCGACCGAUAGUGAACCAGUACCGUGAGGGAAAGGCGAAAAGAACCCCGGGAGGGGAGUGAAAUAGAACCUGAAACCUGAUGCAUACAAACAGUGGGAGCACCCUUGUGGUGUGACUGCGUACCUUUUGUAUAAUGGGUCAACGACUUACAUUCAGUAGCGAGCUUAACCGGAUAGGGGAGGCGUAGGGAAACCGAGUCUUAAUAGGGCGACAUAGUUGCUGGGUGUAGACCCGAAACCGAGUGAUCUAUCCAUGGCCAGGUUGAAGGUGCCGUAACAGGUACUGGAGGACCGAACCCACGCAUGUUGCAAAAUGCGGGGAUGAGCUGUGGAUAGGGGUGAAAGGCUAAACAAACUCGGAGAUAGCUGGUUCUCCCCGAAAACUAUUUAGGUAGUGCCUCGAGCAAGACACUGAUGGGGGUAAAGCACUGUUAUGGCUAGGGGGUUAUUGCAACUUACCAACCCAUGGCAAACUAAGAAUACCAUCAAGUGGUUCCUCGGGAGACAGACAGCGGGUGCUAACGUCCGUUGUCAAGAGGGAAACAACCCAGACCGCCAGCUAAGGUCCCAAAUGAUAGAUUAAGUGGUAAACGAAGUGGGAAGGCCCAGACAGCCAGGAUGUUGGCUUAGAAGCAGCCAUCAUUUAAAGAAAGCGUAAUAGCUCACUGGUCGAGUCGUCCUGCGCGGAAGAUGUAACGGGGCUCAAAUCUAUAACCGAAGCUGCGGAUGCCAGUUUACUGGCAUGGUAGGGGAGCGUUCUGUAGGCCGAUGAAGGUGCAUUGUAAAGUGUGCUGGAGGUAUCAGAAGUGCGAAUGUUGACAUGAGUAGCGAUAAAGCGGGUGAAAAGCCCGCUCGCCGAAAGCCCAAGGUUUCCUACGCAACGUUCAUCGGCGUAGGGUGAGUCGGCCCCUAAGGCGAGGCAGAAAUGCGUAGUCGAUGGGAAACAGGUUAAUAUUCCUGUACUUGAUUCAAAUGCGAUGUGGGGACGGAGAAGGUUAGGUUAGCAAGCUGUUGGAAUAGCUUGUUUAAGCCGGUAGGUGGAAGACUUAGGCAAAUCCGGGUCUUCUUAACACCGAGAAGUGACGACGAGUGUCUACGGACAUGAAGUAACCGAUACCACGCUUCCAGGAAAAGCCACUAAGCUUCAGUUUGAAUUGAACCGUACCGCAAACCGACACAGGUGGGCAGGAUGAGAAUUCUAAGGCGCUUGAGAGAACUCGGGAGAAGGAACUCGGCAAAUUGAUACCGUAACUUCGGGAGAAGGUAUGCCCUCUGAGGUGAAGGAUUUACUCCGUAAGCUUUGGAGGGUCGCAGAGAAUCGGUGGCUGCGACUGUUUAUUAAAAACACAGCACUCUGCAAACACGAAAGUGGACGUAUAGGGUGUGACGCCUGCCCGGUGCUGGAAGGUUAAUUGAAGAUGUGAGAGCAUCGGAUCGAAGCCCCAGUAAACGGCGGCCGUAACUAUAACGGUCCUAAGGUAGCGAAAUUCCUUGUCGGGUAAGUUCCGACCCGCACGAAUGGCGUAACGAUGGCCACACUGUCUCCUCCCGAGACUCAGCGAAGUUGAAGUGGUUGUGAAGAUGCAAUCUACCCGCUGCUAGACG
rnacentral:rRNA from 1 species